rnacentral:rRNA from 1 species
GAACGGGUGAGUAACACGUGGGUGACCUACCUUCGAAUGGGGGAUAACGUCCCGAAAGGGACGCUAAUACCGCAUAACAUCCUGCUCUUGAACGAGUGGAGAUCAAAGCCGGGGAUCGCAAGACCUGGCGUUUGAAGAGGGGCCCGCGUCCGAUUAGCUAGUUGGUGGGGUAAUGGCUCACCAAGGCAACGAUCGGUAGCCGGCCUGAGAGGGCGGACGGCCACACUGGGACUGAGACACGGCCCAGACUCCUACGGGAGGCAGCAGUGGGGAAUUGUUCACAAUGGGCGCAAGCCUGAUUUUUUAACGCCGCGUGGAGGAUGAAGGUCUUCGGAUUGUAAACUCCUGUUGCCCGGGACGAAAUGCUCUGACCUAACACGUCAGAGUUUGACGGUACCGGGUGAGGAAGCCCCGGCUAACUCUGUGCCAGCAGCCGCGGUAA